GUGGGGAAUUUUGCGCAAUGGGGGAAACCCUGACGCAGCAACGCCGCGUGGAGGAUGAAGUCCCUUGGGACGUAAACUCCUUUCGACCGGGACGAUGAUGACGGUACCGGAAGAAGAAGCCCCGGCUAACUUCGU
rnacentral:rRNA from 1 species